rnacentral:rRNA from 1 species
ACGAUAACCUCGGGAAAGAAGGCUAAUAGUUCAUACGGGAGUCAUGCUGGAAUGCCGACUCCCCGAAACGCUCAGGCGCUGUAGGAUGUGGCUGCGGCCGAUUAGGUAGACGGUGGGGUAACGGCCCACCGUGCCGAUAAUCGGUACGGGUUGUGAGAGCAAGAGCCCGGAGACGGAAUCUGAGACAAGAUUCCGGGCCCUACGGGGCGCAGCAGGCGCGAAACCUUUACACUGCACGCAAGUGCGAUAAGGGGACCCCAAGUGCGAGGGCAUAUAGUCCUCGCUUUUCUCGACUGUAAGGCGGUCGUGGAAUAAGAGCUGGGCAAGACCGGUGCCAGCCGCCGCGGUAAUACCGGCGGCUCAAGUGAUGACCGAUAUUAUUGGGCCUAAAGCGUCCGUAGCCGGCCAUGAAGGUUCAUCGGGAAAUCCGCCAGCUCAACUGGCGGGCGUCCGGUGAAAACCACAUGGCUUGGGACCGGAAGGCUCGAGGGGUACGUCCGGGGUAGGAGUGAAAUCCCGUAAUCCUGGACGGACCACCGAUGGCGAAAGCACCUCGAGAAGACGGAUCCGACGGUGAGGGACGAAAGCUAGGGUCUCGAACCGGAUUAGAUACCCGGGUAGUCCUAGCUGUAAACGAUGCUCGCUAGGUGUGACACAGGCUACGAGCCUGUGUUGUGCCGUAGGGAAGCCGAGAAGCGAGCCGCCUGGGAAGUACGUCCGCUAGGAUGAAACUUAAA